rnacentral:rRNA from 1 species
GAAGGUGAUGCCUGCCCGGUGACCCAACGUUUAACGGCCGCGGUAUCCUAACCGUGCAAAGGUAGCGCAAUCAAUUGUCCCAUAAAUCGAGACCAGUAUGAAUGGCUAAACGAGGUCUUAACUGUCUCUUGCAGGCAAUCGGUGAAAUUGAUCUCCCUGUGCAAAAGCAGGGAUAAACCCAUAAGACGAGAAGACCCUGUGGAACUUUAAAAACAGCAGCCACCCCAAAUAACAUAACCCCCCACCGGGCACACUCACACAUAAGCCACUGGCCUGCAUUUUUUCGGUUGGGGCAACCUUGGAGAAAAACAAAUCCUCCAAAAAUUAGACCAUACCUCUAGACCAAGAGCAACCCCUCAACGUGCUAAUAGCACCCAGACCCAAUAUAAUUGAUCAAUGGACCAAGCUACCCCAGGGAUAACAGCGCAAUCUCCUUUAAGAGUCCAUAUCGACAAGGAGGUUUACGACCUCGAUGUUGGAUCAGGACAUCCUAGUGGUGCAGAAGCUACUAAGGGUUCGUUUGUUCAACGAUUAACAGUCCU